rnacentral:rRNA from 1 species
GAUGAACGCUGGCGGCGUGCCUAAUACAUGCAAGUCGAGCGAACAGACGAGGAGCUUGCUCCUCUAACGUUAGCGGCGGACGGGUGAGUAACACGUGGAUAACCUACCUAUAAGACUGGGAUAACUUCGGGAAACCGGAGCUAAUACCGGAUAAUAUAUUGAACCGCAUGGUUCAAUAGUGAAAGACGGUUUUGCUGUCACUUAUAGAUGGAUCCGCGCCGCAUUAGCUAGUUGGUAAGGUAACAGCUUACCAAGGCAACGAUGCGUAGCCGACCUGAGAGGGUGAUCGGCAACACUGGAACUGAGACACGGUCCAGACUCCUACGGGAGGCAGCAGUAGGGAAUCUUCCGCAAUGGGCGAAAGCAUGACGGAGCAACGCCGCGUGAGUGAUGAAGGUCUUCGGAUCGUAAAACUCUGUUAUUAGGGAAGAACAAAUGUGUAAGUAACUAUGCACGUCUUGACGGUACCUAAUCAGAAAGCCACGGCUAACUACGUG